rnacentral:rRNA from 1 species
GACCGAGGAGGCAAGCGUUAUCCGGGAUUAUUGGGCGUAAAGCGUCCGUAGGUGGUUUGACAAGUCUGGGGUUAAAGCCCGGAGCCCAACUCCGGAUCGGCCCUGGAAACUGUCAGACUUGCGUAAGGUAGGGGUUGCGGGAAUUCCCGGUGUAGCGGUGAAAUGCGUAGAUAUCGGGAAGAACACCAGCGGCGAAAGCGCGCAACUGGGCCAUUACUGACACUGAGGGACGAAAGCUAGGGGAGCGAAUGGG